GUGCCCGUAGCUCAGCUGGAUAGAGCAUCGGCCUUCUAAGCCGAGGGUCACAGGUUCGAAUCCUGUCGGGCACGCCA
rnacentral:tRNA from 2 species